rnacentral:rRNA from 1 species
CUUUACAAUGCACGAAGUGUGAUAAGGCAACUCCUUGUGCUUAUCCAAAGACAGGCCUUUUAGUAUGUAAUGUAUACUAAGAAUAAGUGAUGGGCGAAGACCGGUGCCAGCAGCCGCGGUAAUACCGGCGUCACAAGUGGAGAUCACGAUUACUGGGUCUAAAGUAGUUCGUAGCUGGUCAUAUAAGUCUCGUGUGAAAGUUACUGCAGCUUAACUCAGAAUUGCAAGAGAUACUGUAUGACUUGAGACCGGAAGAGGUGUAAGUAUGAAUUGGGUAGCGGUAAAAUAGCUAUAAUACCUUUUCUAGACUAACUAAGGCAAAGGACAUUACACUAAGACGGAUCUGACAGUGAGGAACGAGAGCUGGGGGAGCGAACCGGAUUAGAUACCCGCGUAGU